UGGUUUUGUCAUUCAGCAUCUCAAGCUCCUCCCUCUCCUGACACACCUGAGAAACCAGGAAGCAUCUGUUCCUCCCUGAAGAGACGCAGGCUGAAAACCAGACGAUCACAUUCACCUUCCAAACCAGACUGAACCAGACCAGACCAGACGUCCUGAGUGAGUCCAGCUACAGGAGAGAAGAGUGAAACUACAACCUGCCGACGCUCCACACACUGACCCUUCACCUGGAGACUCAAUGGCUUCAAGAUUAGAAGAGGAUCUAUUUCCCUGAUCCCAUGAUGUCUUCUGUCAUGUAGCCACAGCUUCUGUAAAGACUGUGUGAAGAGCUGAUGGAAAGACAAAGUAGUAAAAGAGUGUCCACUUUGUAAGAGAAGAUCUUCAAUGAUUGAACCACCUUGUAACCUGGUGUUGAAGAACCUGUGUGAGACCUUCUUACAGGAGAGAGAUCAGAGAUCAUCACAUGCUCUCUGCACUCAGAGAAACUCAGACUCUUCUGUCUGGACCAUCAGCAGCCUCCAACCUGGAUUCUCUGCGAAGAAGAAGCAGCGGAAAUGAGGCAGUUGUGUUUUGAAAGAGGGAAAUUUAAAACUCGAUGGUGUAAAACAGAAAUGAAUAAAACCAACGAGAGCCAGAGGAACAUGAGCUGAACUUGAAGUUGGUUCAUGGACGUUUUUCUCACCUACACGUUGUUUGAAUCCAAUAAAAACAAGUGAAGCU